rnacentral:rRNA from 1 species
GACGAACGCUGGCGGCGUGCUUAACACAUGCAAGUCGAGCGGUAAGGCCCUUUCGGGGGUACACGAGCGGCGAACGGGUGAGUAACACGUGGGUGACCUGCCCUCAGCUCUGGGAUAAGCCUGGGAAACCGGGUCUAAUACUGGAUAUGACUCCAUGACGCAUGUUGUGGGGUGGAAAGCCUUGUGCGGCUGAGGAUGGGCCCGCGGCCUAUCAGCUUGUUGGUGGGGUGANGGCCUACCAAGGCGACGACGGGUAGCCGGCCUGAGAGGGCGACCGGCCACACUGGGACUGAGACACGGCCCAGACUCCUAUGGGAGGGCAGCAGUGGGGAAUCUUGCGCAAUGGGCGAAAGCCUGACGCAGCGACGCCGCGUGAGGGAUGACGGCCUGGUGUAACGU